UGGGGAAUAUUGCACAAUGGGCGAAAGCCUGAUGCAGCAACGCCGCGUGAGUGAUGAAGGCCUUCGGGUUGUAAAGCUCUGUCUUCUGGGACGAUAAUGACGGUACCAGAGGAGGAAGCCACGGCUAACUACGUGCCAGCAGCCGCGGUAAUACGUAGGUGGCAAGCGUUGUCCGGAUUUACUGGGCGUAACGGAUGCGUAGGCGGAUACUUAAGUCAGAUGUGAAAAUCCCGGGCUUAACUUGGGAACUGCAUUUUAAACUGGGUGUCUAGAGUGCGGGAGAGGAAAGUGGAAUUCCUAGUGUAGCGGUGAAAUGCGUAGAGAUUAGGAAGAACACCAGUGGCGAAGGCGACUUUCUGGACCGUAACUGACGCUGAGGCAUGAAAGCGUGG
rnacentral:rRNA from 1 species